ACGUGUAAAUUUCCACGUAAAUGUGGAAUAAUUUCCACAUUUGAAACGAUGCUGUUGGUGGCAACACUCCUAAUCCACGUUGUUGUGUAGAUAACCCGGCAACCCUGAUCUGUGUGCGCAGUUGAGCCAUGGCCACCAGUCACAUUAGUUGUAAAGAUUGCGAAUUUGAUUACUGAGAAAUCAUCGCCCCUGCGAUGCAAGUCAGUGUACAAUCGAGAAGAGGACCAGCCAGGACCUUCAUCCUUUCGUUAAGUUUUCAAGCAGCGCCAAGCACCAAGUAUCAAGCACCAAGCGGCAAGACAAACAGUGCAAACCUUCACCACAACGCUUCACACUGCUUUAUCUUCAUCAAUUAAAGGCUCAGAUGUGUAGAUAUGGAAGCAAUAGAAGAAAGAAGGAGAAACUACAAACGAAGAGGACGAAGAAGAAAUGAGAAAUAGAGGCGGAAUAGGAGAAGGAACCAAACUGUAAUAUUUAGAAUUCAGUACUAAUAAUACCAAAGAAGUGAGGGAAAUGUUUGGAGUGAGCGUGCAAGACAUACAACAGACACCAGACUGCUACUGCCGAUGUAGCCAAAGGAACAAGAGGAAAAGGAGGAAGAAGAGGGUGAUUCUUGGAGAUGUACCAAUGAAGACCUGAAGGUUGGCCAUAAAUCUUCAUCACUGGUGUAGUGUAUUUCAUAGACCAUUUGUAGAUUGGAUGGAUAAAUUUGUAGAUUUUGUGAACAGAGUUGUAGAUGUGUAGUGGGUAAGGUUUUUUGCAAUGCCUUAUUUAAACCAGCAAAAACCAGCAAGUUAUGCAUAGCAUUGUAAUAUGAAUGUAUAUAUACUUAUGUAUAUAGUGUUUAAAAGAGGAAAGUGUAGACCAAGAGAGGAAAGUAACCUCUUGGGACAUGAGUUCUCUGCUCAUCACUUAUCAUUCCUGUCACCCAUCAUGAUCGUUUAUGCCUUAAGGACCAAAUGACCAACGUGUUCUCUCCAUGCUGGAAGUCACCAUGGAGGAACACGUAGUGAAGAUAAUGUUCCUUGUUAGGAGAUGCCAUCUUCUUAGUGACGGACUGUAGUGAGUAUGCUGGUUAGUCAGACAUCAACCAUGUGUCGCAGUGGAUGACAGGAUGUGUCUUGCUGCCAGGCCAUGACAAUAGAUUAGUACCAAGCAGUAGUUGUUAAGGGUAGUAGUAGUGGAGUGCUUCUCACUCUAUUGCAAGGUGUGAUGUAGACUUGGCUCUGUCUAAUGGAAACAAGUAGUGAUCACAAGAACCUGUUCCUUUUUGUUUGUCUCAAAGAACAGUGAGAACAUAAAAUGUCAAUUUUUUUCAAGCCUUGAUAUCAGAAGAUAUGAGAAUAAGUAUUAAUAUUAGUUAAGUUGGUAAAUUUCAUGAUGAUCAAUAUUCAAGAAUAAAUUCAACAGGUAAUUUCUAAUUACUACACUAUAUGGAUAAAUGAGGAAGGACUCAUAAAAGUAAUUUAUUACUCACAUGUUUGUAAUCAUACAUUAAGAAUUACAAAUACUGAAGAUGUCCAGAUAGAAGGCAGAGUAACAGUCUGCUGAUGAUUCUGACUACACACAAUCAUAAUAUACUUGAAGUUGUGC